GGGCAACGAGAAAACCUGCACAUUUGCGAAUGACAGGCUUAACACAUUUAUGAGUAACGAUGUUGUGGAAGUACUCGUUGAGAUAUGAAGAACAGUCUCCUCUUCCUGAUAUCCGUCUGUUUGACGGUACUCCUCUUUCAGCCAUGUUCUACAGCCUCCUGGAAGAUACGCCACUGGAAGGGACUACUCCUGCUGUCGAAGGACAAAUGCGCCAACAGAUGCAAAUUUAAACACGGGUAUUUCACGGACGCCGCCGGCGAGACCCAGCUUGCUGCCAAGGCCAAGCGAGGGAUCAUCCCCGGAAAAUGUCAGUGCAUGGUAUCACCGGAGCUUAGGAAGUAUAUCACACAAAAACUCAGCCUCAAGGAGGCCAACACCUACGGACGUCUGAAUUUCUUCGGGAUGACGAGGAGGGCGCGCAAUCGACUGGGCGGGAAGGUCGAGUUCAUCACGUACGAACAACUGCAAGAGCGGCUCGAAGCCAAGAAGAAGGCGGCCGAGUACGAGAGGAUCGUCGCGGCGAACCGGGCUGCGGCCGCGGCGCGCUCUGCAUCAAAUUCAAAUCCCGGCAGCGCAUCUACCACCCCCGGACUGAGCGGUGCAUCCACCCCCGGGUCCCUGGGAUCGAGCGGGAUUUCCACCCCUGCGUUAGGAACGGGCGGCUCCUCCACACCCAAGGCGGGUCAGAGUGGGGCUUCCUCCCCCAAGAAGAGGGACGGUGGGGGCUCUGCUCAGCAAGGGGUUUCGUCGGCGGAUUUGGCGUCGCAGGCCAUAAGGGGCGUCAAAGCUAAUGAUAUGUGGGAUUUUUUGGAUAAGUCGAAGAAAGCAUGAACGGCCACGGCGAAGGAUUGAUGACUGUUUGAAAGGACGGUUCAGACUUCUAGAAACGAGAUCAGUAUUGGUUGGGACGUGAAUUGGUGAUUCAAUGGUAAAAAUUAAUUUUUUUAAAAAAAAAGCGAAGUACCUAUUACCGUCUCUAUUUGCUUUUGGACAAUUAUUGGGUGGUUACAUUCUGCAUCGAAGGAACUACUGUUUCGGGCUCAUUUUAGAAUCAGGUUACACGGAGAGAAAUUUCAACACGAAAGUUUGGUUUAUAAUACGGGAAGAACAACGUGGUGAAAUGGUGCUGGGUCCUCGCCAGAGAACCACGCAUUUCGCGGGGAAAACCAAGUCAAAAAGUUCCAAAAAUCUGCAAUUAGAAUCAAAAACAUUUUGAGCUCUACACGGAGAAAAAAACUUCGUUCGUGGGACCCGAAAGUGAGGUCAUAUGGAUCUCUGAAGUUUUCGGAUCACGUAUCUAAAAACUUGAGGUCGAGCUGCCGAAGUUCGGGUCACACAUCUGAAGUACUUCGAUACAUACCGAAGGGCUCGGGUCACACAUCUGAAGCACUCCGGUACAUACCGAAGGGCCUCGAUGUCUGACCCGAACUUUGGCAGCUGGACCUCAAGUUUUUAGAUACGUGAUCCGAAAACUUUAGAGAUCCAUAUGACCUCAACUUCGGCUCCCACGCACGAAGUUUUUUUCUCCGUGUAAUGAGAAUCAGUGCAAGACUGAGAUGGGAGAGUGUAGCUCAAGCAGCUUGCAUUGGAAUAUUAAGCUGUCUCACGCCGAGAGAUCUAUUACGUUUGGGGUCCUUUUAGACCUCAUCAGUAGAGCACAUUCAUUAGUGGAAACGAAAGUAAAGCACAAAUUAAGCCUAGCCUUCGGUUGACAAUUUGAAGAGAAAAUGUCACCUAAUAUUUUUGAAGAAAUUUAAUAAUAAACGAGUGAUGAAUACCGAUGUCGCAAUCGGAGGAAUGCAAUUUACUAUAGUCUGUCCAUUGUUUUUGCUAAAUUCACCGCAAACUGUACCAAAAUCAACCACAGCUUUGUGUUGGUUUGAGUUUUACUCCCUGUAUUGAACAAAAGUAAUACAAGAACACAAAUAUUUUUAAGUAUGUUUAAAUUUUACCCGAUGCGGAUAGGAGCUACAAUGGAUGAGCCAGAAAUAGCGGUUCCUGAAUGCAAAAUUCAAUACAACUUUCCUACUCUCACGUUGAAGUCUCCACCGUUCAACAAAAUUUUAGUUGCAUCUUGGUUAUGGUCACUCAUCUACCAAGCGUGAAUAAACUUCGUAUCAAUUUGAGUGGGAUGUUUCGAAAUUCUGUUAAAUAAAUUACUGAUGAAUAAUUACAAUUAAUUAUAAGAAUUUUUUUUAAAAAAAAAAAAAAAAAAAAAAACUAGCAAAAUGAUGGGACAUUUUCACCUAAUUUUUGAAUUUCAAACAAAACCAGGUUACGUUCGAAAAAAGCUUUUCCUUUCUAUGUUUUUACUAAUCGAAACCUUAAAGAAUGUAAGAACAGAACUGUCUUAAGUUUCUCUUUCCUUUUCAUGAGGAGAUAAAUUUGCUUCAAGAGUCACCCAACAGGAGGGGUGCCGAAAACCCACCCCAUGAAAGGCGUCACAUCGAAUAGCGGUGAGGCAGCGCCUAAGUUAUUAACUGUCUAAGUUAUACAGAAGCCCAUCAUUCAAAAUAUUGAGCAAAAAUGUUGAAGCUUCCAAACACUCAAGAUUCUUCAUGAGAAACUAAAUCCCUAGAAAACUUCAAGAGCACGCCGAAAUGUCUCGUCUAUCGCCAUGUUGCAAACACAAAAAAAUCAAUAAAUUAACUCUCAUUUCAAGACGUUGAUUUAAACGGUAGGAACAGCUUCUUCGAACGAUAUACGAACUCUCUUUCGCUCGAGUCAAGCCCUUUUGUCCAGAGAGAGCGAAGAUGAAACCAUUCUCAAAGUGAAACCAAGGAGGAUAAUAUUGGACUACAUUUUGCAAUUCGGAUCUACAACUUCCGGCUCACAGAAAAUAACACCUAUGCAUACGGACACACGAAGAAAAAACUUCGUGCGUGGGACCC
rnacentral:lncRNA from 1 species